rnacentral:rRNA from 1 species
GACGGAGGGUGCUAGCGUUGUUCGGAAUGACUGGGCGUAAAGGGCGCGUAGGCGGCCGACCAAGUCGGAUGUGAAAUCCCUCGGCUCAACCGAGGAACUGCACUCGAUACUGGUUGGCUAGAGUCCGGGAGGGGAUGGUGGAAUUCCCAGUGUAGCGGUGAAAUGCGUAGAUAUUGGGAAGAACACCGGUGGCGAAGGCGGCCAUCUGGACCGGUACUGACGCUGAGGCGCGAAAGCUAGGGGAGCAAACGGG